rnacentral:lncRNA from 1 species
CCGGUCCGAUUCUAAAAACAUUACUUUUAGGUAUAAACUAAUUACCAGUGCUAUCCAAAACCAACAUGCACUCCAAACAUAUGGCACAUAUCCUCAAGCUUGCCAUCAUUAUCGAGCCCAAUCCGAUAUGGUGACAGCCAAACCCUAGAUUUGGGUCAUCUAGUGGCUAGAUCUUAAUACCCAUUAUUGACACAAGCCAAACCUCUUGUCCCUAAUC